ensembl:lncRNA
CUCUAGCUAUCCUCUAGCUAUUCUCCAGCUGUCCUCUAGGUAUCCUCUAGCUGUCCUCUAGCUAUCCUCUAGCUGUCCUCUAGCUGUCCUCUAGGUAUCCUCUAGCUGUCCUCUAGGUAUCCUCUAGCUGUCCUCUAGGUAUCCUAUAGCUGUCCUCUAGCUGUCCUCUAGCUGUCCUCUAGCUGUCCUCUAGGUAUCCUCUAGCUGUCCUCUAGCUGUCCUCUAGCUAUCCUAUAGCUAUCCUCUAGGUAUCCUCUAGCUGUCCUCUAGGUAUCCUCUAGCUGUCCUCGAAGGUAUCCUCUAGGUAUUAUCUAGCUGUCCUCUAGCUGUCCUCUAGGUAUCCUCUAGCUGUCCUCUAGGUAUCCUCUAGCUGUCCUCUAGGUAUCCUCUAGCUGUCCUCUAGGUAUCCUCUAGCUGUCCUCUAGGUAUCCUAUAGCUGUCCUCUAGCUGUCCUCUAGGUAUCCUCUAGCUGUCCUCUAGGUAUCCUCUAGCUGUCCUCUAGGUAUCCUCUAGCUGCCCUCUAGAUAUCCUCUAGCUGUCCUCGAAGGUAUCCUCUAGGUAUUAUCUAGCUGUCCUCUAGCUGUCCUCUAGCUGUCCUCUAGCUGUCCUCUAGGUAUCCUCUAGCUGUCCUCGAGGUAUCCUCUAGCUGUCCUCUAGCUGUCCUCUUGUUAUCCCCUAGCUGUCCCCUAGGUAUCCUCUAGGUAUCCUCUAGCUGUCCUCUAGGUAUCCUAUAGCUGUCCUCUAGGUAUCCUCUAGCUGUCCUCUAGGUAUCCUCUAGCUGUCCCCUAGGUAUCCUCUAGCUGUCCUCUAGAUAUCCUCAUCCUGUCCUCUAGGUAUCCUCUAGCUGUCCUCUAGGUAUCCUCUAGCUGUCCUCGAAGGUAUCCUCUAGGUAUUAUCUAGCUGUCCUCUAGCUGUCCUCUAGGUAUCCUCUAGCUGUGCUCUAGCUGUCCUCUUGGUAUCCUCUAGCUGUCCCCUAGGUAUCCUCUAGGUAUCCUCUAGCUGUCCUCUAGGUAUCCUCUAGCUGUCCUCUAGCUGUCCUCUAGGUAUCCUCUAGCUCUCCUCUAGGUAUCCUCUAGCUGUCCUCUAGCUGUCCUCUAGGUAUCCUCUAGCUGUCCUCUAGGUACUUUCCCCAGUCCAGCUCUCUAACAUCAGUGCAGAUUAAGGAAAGGAGUUGAAUCAGAAGAAGAGACAAAACGCGUGUGUCUCAAAUGUAACCCUUUUCACUUCAUAGUGCCCUACUUUUGACCCUGAACUUUAACCCUGGUCAAAAGUUGUGCACUAUGAAUAAAGGUCCCAUUUGGAACGCAGACAAUACUGUAUGUCUAGGCUGUUGACAUGCACCUAGAGGGGGAUUGACAUAUAUAGAUAAUAAACCCAGUCAUAAUUGAAGAGGUUCAUCCACAGGAGGAUAAAACAGAGUAGUGCAGGAGGAUAAAACAGAGCGGUACAGGAGGAUAAAACAGAGCGGUACAGGAGGAUAAAACAGAGCGGUACAGGAGGAUAAAACCAGAGUGGUACAGGAGGAUAAAACAGAGCGGUACAGGAGGAUAAAACAGAGCGGUACAGGAGGAUAAAACCAGAGCGGUACAGGAGGAUAAAACCAGAGCAGUACAGGAGGAUAAAACCAGAGCGGUACAGGAGGAUAAAACCAGAGCGGUACAGGAGGAUAAAACCAGAGCGGUACAGGAGGAUAAAACAGAGUGGUACAGGAGGAUUAAACCAGAGCGGUACAAGAUUAUAAAACCAGAGCGGUACAGGAGGAUAAAACCAGAGCGGUACAGGAGGAUAAAACCAGAGUGGUACAGGAGGAUAAAACCAGAGCGGUACAGGAGGAUAAAACCAGAGCGGUACAGGAGGAUAAAACCAGAGUGGUACAGGAGGAUAAACCAGAGCGGUACAGGAUUAUAAAACCAGAGCGGUACAGGAGGAAAAAACAGAGUGGUACAGGAGGAUAAAACAGAGUGGUACAGGAGGAUAAAACCAGAGCGGUACAGGAGGAUAAAACAGAGUGGUACAGGAGGAUAAAACCAGAGUGGUACAGGAGGAUAAAACAGAGUGGUACAGGAGGAUAAAACAGAGUGGUACAGGAGGAUAAAACAGAGUGGUACAGGAGGAUAAAACCAGAGCGGUACAGGAGGAUAAAACAGAGUGGUACAGGAGGAUAAAACCAGAGCGGUACAGGAGGAUAAAACCAGAGUGGUACAGGAGGAUAAAACCAGAGCGGUACAGGAGGAUAAAACAGAGUGGUACAGGAGGAUAAAACCAGAGCGGUACAGGAGGAUAAAACCAGAGUGGUACAGGAGGAUAAAACCAGAGCGGUACAGGAGGAUAAAACCAGAGUGGUACAGGAGGAUAAAACCAGAGCGGUACAGGAGGAUAAAACCAGAGCGGUACAGGAGGAUAAAACCAGAGCGGUACAGGAGGAUAAAACAGAGUGGUACAGGAGGAUAAAACAGAGUGGUACAGGAGGAUAAAACAGAGUGGUACAGGAGGAUAAAACCAGAGCGGUACAGGAGGAUAAAACAGAGUGGUACAGGAGGAAAGAGGAGAACAGGGGAUUUUACACAGAAGGAAAGAGGAUGAAGAGAGGACAGGAACUCCGUUUCGAAGGUUUCUUAUAACACAACUGAAAAGGGAAGUAGUCAUUUACUCCACUUCAAAUAUAAACCAGUUUCCCUCCGGUGCAUGAUCACAUGGGGUAUGGCCCAAAUGGCACGCUAUUCACUAUAUAGUGCACUCAUUUUGAACGGCCAAAAGUAGUGUACUAUAUAGGGAAUGGGGUGCCAUUUCGGACUCGGCCAUACUGUAUAGACACCUGAAACAUAUGUGAAGUUAGGUACAUCACAGGCACUUUUGACAGGGCACAUACAGGGCUCUGGUCAAAAGUAGUGCACUAUAGAGGGAAUAAGGUGCCAUCUGGGACACAGCCUUUGUAUUUCAACAGUAUCACUGUAUUGUUAGUCAGCUGUGUUGUCAUGGUUCCUAGCUCAGGUGUUUUGAGUGGCCUACAUUUGAUGUUGUUUUUUUUGUAAGGAAUUUAUUCAAUCAAUGAUUUUGAAAAAGUUUAAUUAUAGUCAAAUUAUAAUGAGAAUAAAUUGAUUGUAAUUGUUUUUUACUGUUAUGAAGUUGUUUUCUGAGUAUAAAGCUGGUUUUGUGCCUCUUGAUGUGGGUGUUCUGUUAUCAAAGACCAACUAAUAUCACCAUGGAAACUUAGUUCAUAAAAGUGAACACCUUAUAUGCUUAGUUAAAUAAAAAGUCACUCCUACACUGUAAGUAAGCCGGAAAGACAUCAUUAACAAAAACAUUCACUUAUUUUAUAAGACUUGAUCUUUAUUUGGAUCCCCGUGAGCUGACUCCAUGACAACAGCUAAAUGUGUAUACAGGCAUACAGUCAACACACACACAUACAUUUAAAGGUACACCGUGAGUGUAGAAUGCAUUUAUUUAUUUUGACUC